CUUGUUGGGGUUUGACUUCUUUUUCCACUGGAUUAAAAAAAAUCACAUGAAGGGUAUUGAUUCAAACAUUUCCUUUAAGGAAAACUCAUGGAAUGGAUGCUUCUGCUGCCUCUGCAUGGAUGAACUGGACUUGGGGAGGGAAGCAGGCUCCCUAAUACCUAAUGGCUCAUGGCAUCCUUGACUUUGACAAACUAGGAAUCAAUGUGCUGGGUCAGGAUCUCCUUAGGACCUGGAACGGAGCAAAGCACCAACUUGAGGACUGUAAAUUACAAUGAGCUUUCCUAUUGUUUGUAAAUGGUGGACUAUUUCUGAAUAUUAGUUUAGGAAAACAUAAUUUAAGAUUGAUCAAAACUAAUUCCGCUUAUUUCAUUUUCUAGCAACAUAAAACUAAGGAGGUAGAAUAGACCCUAAGUACUGCAGCUCCUUUGUUGAAGAUCAAAGAAGAAUGAGGUGUGCUGAGGUCAGCUGUGGGCACCUGUUGGUAGGAGAAGGGCUGGUAUUAUAUCCAGUCACUUCCUGACUGCUUGUGACCCAGAUUUUGGUGUCUCAUAACUUUCUCCUGGCUGACUCAACCAAGAGACUGGUUUUGAAUGACUUUUUGUGCUGAGAAUGAGAGAUUCUCCACCUGCAUUUCAAAGACUGCAUUCAUUAAAGUGCUGUCCUUAAAGUUCUUUCCAGGACCCCCCUCCUUUUGUUUC
rnacentral:lncRNA from 1 species